CGAUACUCCGAAAAGACCGGGCAUGACGUCCGGCCACCGAAGGUGCAACCUCCCAUGGCGGAGGGAAUCUCUCAGGUAACACAACGGGGGCA
rnacentral:ncRNA from 1 species